rnacentral:rRNA from 1 species
AUACGUAGGUGACAAGCGUUAUCCGGAUUUACUGGGCGUAAAGGGCGUGUAGGCGGUCUUGCAAGUCAGAAGUGAAAUUCCUGAGCUCAACUCGGGCGCUGCUUCUGAAACUGCAGGACUUGAGUGCUGGAGGGGAUAGCGAAAUUCCUAGUGGAGCGGUAAAAUGCGCAGAUAUUAGGAAGAACACCGGUGGCGAAGGCGGCUAUCUGGACAGUAACGGACGCUGAGGCGCGAAAGCGUGGGGAGCAAACAGGAUUAGAUCCCCUGGUAGUCCACGCCGUAAACGAUGAAUACUAGGUGUAGGGGGUAUCGACUCCCUCUGUGCCGCAGUUAACACAAUAAGUAUUCCGCCUGGGGAGUACGGCCGCAAGGUUGAAACUCAAAUGAAUUGACGGGG